AGAAGGAAAAGAAGAUAAGAAAAAUAGAAUAUUUUUAUAAAAAAGUAUAGCAAAGCAGUGUUUUCUUUUGUUUGUCACUUUUAGUUUUACUACACACAGUUUAGAUAUUUAUGAUCUGUCAUAAUCUUAUUUUAGAAUGAAUAUUUCACACAUAUGUGGUAACUGUACUGCAUCAUUUUACCAUAUAAUCUUUAAACAGCACAACUAGCACUACGUUUAAUUGUUUUUAUUGGAAAAUAUUAGACAAAAUGAAGAGUCUUUUUGGGUCUAGAUCAUGAGAUUAUGGUGACAAGCUGGGUUUUCUGUUUAUUAACACUUUCUUCAUAUGCUUAAACAAACUGAAACAAAUAUAUCUUGUGUACUCCAAAGUAUUUUUCUGGUACUGAAGGUGAUCCUACUGAAAAUGGAAAUCUCAGGAAGAGAUGCUGUGGGGACAAAUUCUCCAGUCAGCCGACAGCCAAUACAAGAAUAAAUCAGGCUGUUUAUUAGAGAGAAUAAGUUUAAAAAACAUCAACAAUAUAACUCUCCAUUUCAAAGAUGUCGCAAUAGUAACUACAACUUCACAAUAUAUUAGAAAUUUAUUGUUAUUAGGGUAAUUGUACGCAAUAUCAAUUUCAAAAAGAAUUGUUUGGUUUGAGAAAAAAUUGCAAAUAAUCAAUGUUUAUAUUGACAAUUAGAAAAGUACAAAAAAGGUGUUUCUAUGCCAAAACAGUAAAUAUAGUCACAUGAAAUCAUGGUGUUGUCUGUAAUGAGGUCAAAGCAGAAGUAUGUUAACACUGUUUAGUUAAGUUGAUUUAAUUGUUGAUUUAUUGCACCAUAUCACCACUACAACUUCCAACUUUAUUGCAUGUUUUAUUAAUAUUGCCCAGCCUGAUUAAUAAACCACAUUUAAAGUCAACUCUGGUUAACUUAAAGCUUUCAAACUUUCUAAAUUUAAAGUAAAAUUGUCAUUUGGAAGUGAUCUGGAGAGAAAUGGGGAAAAUAUGUUAAAAGUUCUAGAAACACACAAAGAACAAAAAACAAAAAACAGAAUAAAUGUCACAAUUCGUUACCUAGCAACCUAAAGCCAAGUCCAGUCCCUCACCUGGCAACCCAAGUGAAGCUCCACCCACUAAAUUCAAGACGCUAUACCGCUGUGGCGUCUUGAAAGAAGCAAUACACAGCUGCUGACAGCAGUACACGUGUCCAUUCAUUUUCUCCCAGUCACGGAGAACCCAGCUGCGUCGCUUCAUUUUAUUUUUGUUUACAAUGUUUUGAAGAAAGUUGUAGUUUGCACAAAUCGGUUUAGGAAAGAGUCUUCUGAAAACUACCAACACUACAUUUAGGAUUUACCAAAACACCUGGGCGGAAGGAAGAUUAUGUUCCUACUACUCGUCACAAUUCUGCAGAUGAUGGCAAGAGCCACAACAUUACAGGAUACAAGCCUGUCAUCCUGACGUGUUUGACUGUGAAAUCCUUUGACUACUGAAGCAUCUUAACAACGUCAGUGUCCCUCUGCUGGACUCCCCGCAGAGUAUCAGGAAAAGCUGCAAGCUGAAUGAGAUGAAGAUGAGAUGCUCUACACCCCCCUGGCCCACAAAAUGCUGCCAACAGAAUCGCUAAGUAGAAAACAGAUCAGGUUUCAUCCACAAUUUCUUCCCACUAACAACCUGAAGUGUGAAAUCUGCUAUUGGAGGUAAGG